rfam:Candidatus Edwardsbacteria bacterium GWF2_54_11 gwf2_scaffold_450, whole genome shotgun sequence.
GGACAGGACCGGGUGAUCGCCCCGCUUUGGCGGGGAGGAAAGUCCGAGCUCCAGAGGGCAGGCAGCCCCGGGAAUACCGGGGGAUCCGCCGGUAAUACGGCGGGUACGGAAAGCGCCACAGAAAAUAUACCGCCCCGCCUCUGGCGGGGUAAGGGUGAAAAGGCGAGGUAAGAGCUCACCGCCUGGCAAGACAACUUCCAGGGCAUGGCAAACCCCUGUCGGAGCAAGACCAAAUAGAUUCCGCCGCUCCGCUGAAAAAGCGGUAUAAGGACGGCCCGUUCGGAAGGCGGAAGGGUAGGUUGCUUGAUCCCGGCCGUAUGGCCGGGACCAGAGAGAUGAUCGCCAUCCCGUUAUGCGGGAUACAGAACUCGGCUUACAGGUCCUGUCCCUUU